rnacentral:rRNA from 1 species
UACGUAGGUGGCAAGCGUUGUCCGGAUUUACUGGGCGUAAAGCGCGUGCAGGCGGUUCGUUAAGUUCAGGGUGAAAGCUCCCGGCUCAACUCGGGAGAGGUCCUUGGAUACUGGCGGACUCGAGGGAGGUAGAGGAGAGUGGAAUUCCCGGUGUAGUGGUGAUAUGCGUAGAUAUCGGGAGGAACACCAGUGGCGAAGGCGGCUCUCUGGGCCUUACCUGACGCUCGAGACGCGAAAGCGUGGGGAGCGAACCGG